GCCGGGUGUGGUGGCGCAGGCCUGUAAUCCCAGCUACUCGGGAGGCUGAGGCAGGAGAAUUGCUUGAACUCAGGAGGCAGAGGUGGCAGUGAGCCAAAAUUGCGCCACUGCACUCCAGCCUGGGCGACAGGGCAAGACUCUGUCUCAA
rnacentral:sRNA from 1 species